rnacentral:misc_RNA from 1 species
GAUGAAGAACGUAGCGAAAUGCGAUAAGUAGUGUGAAUUGCAGAAUUCAGUGAAUCAUCGAAUCUUUGAACGCACAUUGCGCCCUGUGGUAUUCCGCAGGGCAUGCCUGUUCGAGCGUCAUUGACACCCUCAAGCUCUGCUUGGUCUUGGGCGUUUGUGCCUGCCGUUGCGCAGGGACUCGCCUCAAACUCAUUGGCAGCCUGCCUUUGCCGGUCUUUGCACAGCACAGUCGUGCCAAAGCCGCGGUGAGCAGGCGCUCCACAAGCCCUUUUCAGCUUGACCUCGGAUCAGGUAGGAAUACCCGCCGAACUUAAGCAUAUCAAUAAGCGGAGGA